AUUGAACGCUGGCGGCAUGCCUUACACAUGCAAGUCGAACGGCAGCGGACCUUCGGGUGCCGGCGAGUGGCGAACGGGUGAGUAAUAUAUCGGAACGUACCUUUCAGUGGGGGAUAACGUAGCGAAAGUUACGCUAAUACCGCAUAUUCUGUGAGCAGGAAAGCAGGGGAUCGCAAGACCUUGCGCUGAUUGAGCGGCCGAUAUCAGAUUAGCUAGUUGGUGAGGUAAAGGCUCACCAAGGCGACGAUCUGUAGCGGGUCUGAGAGGAUGAUCCGCCACACUGGAACUGAGACACGGUCCAGACUCCUACGGGAGGCAGCAGUGGGGAAUUUUGGACAAUGGGCGCAAGCCUGAUCCAGCCAUGCCGCGUGAGUGAAGAAAGGCCUCGUUGUAAGUACGUAC
rnacentral:rRNA from 1 species